ensembl:lncRNA
UCUUAGUCAUCAAGACAAAGUAGAUUCUUUAAGAGGAUUGUUUGCAACAAGACUGCUCCGUGGUGGAUAUUGGCCGUGACCUGCUAGAAAAUGAAUUGAGCCAUUCAAACAUGCAUGAGAUGUGAGAGGAGAAUGCCGUGCAGCAGAGAUGGGAGAGCACAGGCUCUGGGGGCCACAACAGCUGACGUGCAAUUCCAACUCCUUCAUGUCCUAACUGUGUGACUCUGGCAAGAAAUGAAGAAUGUCUUUUGUGGAUCUUGCUGUGGGGAACAAGUGAAAUAAGGAGCAACACAACCCACAAAUCUCCAUGGUCUGAAGGAAACCCUUGGUUUCAGGGCAAGAUAUGUGGAGGAGCAUUUCCUGGGUCCUGAAUGGUGUCGGUUAAUCAGACAUGACAGUUAUUUAUUAAAAUGCUGCUACUCAGGAUAGCAAGUCCUGUAAGAAGUGCCAUCGUAGGUUUUUACCACUGCACGUGAGCUGAAUUUAGUCAUCAGUGAAAUGCAGCACGACAUGUCUUCUUUAUUCAGCACUAGCAGGAGAGAAAAAUAAUAAUCUCCUAGGAGCCAUUGUCAUUGCUGAGGACCAAGAACAACCAAAAAAGUGUCUGUGUAGGAAUAAUAAACUCAAAGAUAAGAAUCACAAGACAUCUCCGCAACCCAAAUUCUCACCAACUCAUCCAUCUAUUCCCAAGUCAGGGAAACAAGUGAAAAUCUGAAAAGCUCCCAGCUCAAGUUUAAGGACCGUCCUUCACCCUGGCUGAGCCAGUUCCCAGCUUCAAUGAACUUGAAGGAACCGUAUGUGAAGAUACAGUUCUCUGACCACAGUCUCCCCAAACAGUGGAAGAGCAGAACACACACCAGAAAGUGUCUUCACUAAACCGUCCAGUCCAAUUUCCAAGGGGUGGGGCCAAAGGUUUCCAGGUCAACACGGAAAAUAAAUCUACCCAGACUAUUUUUAGGCUCACACCACUUUCCAGGAUGCAAUAUCAGGGCCUAUUCACCUGCCCAAUCUACCUUCAUUCUGUGCACUUGAUGGUUGGAGUCACAAACUCUGAAUGCAUGUAGGACAAGAUAGCGUGACAUCUAACCUAACUCUACCCCCGCCCCCGCUCAAGGGUACUAGCCACACAGCAGAGGGAAAACUGCCCAGUACUGGGUCUGGAAUCAAGCUAUGAUGGGGUGGGGUUGCGGAAGGUGGGCUUGAAGAACCAUCCUGCUUUUUCCAGGAGUACCAACCUCAGGACUUUAUUUCUCUCAUGGCAGUUGCCAACCUGGCUCCAGUAGCCUUGCAGUUUAGAAGAUUGCACCCCUAAAUCAGAGAGAGGUGAACUGGCAGACCCAGUUGUUGGUGCCACUGUGACUUGUGUUUUUCUCUGUCCUUUUAGGUAUUUUAUGGGGAAGUCAAGAAAGGAUACAUCAGGAGCUGCUAGACAAAAGUCAUUAGUUAGCUUUAAACUGCCUGAUAUUGUCAUUUGAUACUAUUUGCCCAUUAAAUAUGUUUAUGCUGGUCAGGAACAUUAUACAUUGUGCUCACAUUAAUCUUUCUUCCCAAGAUCAAUGUUUUUCUUUAUUUUUUGGCAGCCUCUAGAGGGGAAAAAUCAAUAAAUAAACUGUUUUAAUUAAGUUUAAAAAAGAAAUGCCUCUUUAAGGAAAAACCUUAAUUGGUUAAUUUUUGUCUUUAGGACCUCACCUGAUGUUAUAAAGAGACUGCAGCUGAGAGAAAAAAGAUUCAUCAAAUGGGUACAAAUACUACUUACACUAGCCUUAGAAAGUAGAGGCUUAAGUGGGGAAUAUUGACUUCAAAUUUCAAUUUGUCCCCACUUAUUUUUCCCCAGCAGGUCCACAUCUUCAGUGUCCUUUGUACCUGUUAGUAGAUGUUCCGAUAACUAUCUAUGCCUUUACUUCUUUUGGAAGCAAAAGAAGAUUCAGUUGGAAUCCCAUCUUACUUCCACCGUCCAGAUCUAGACAGUCCUUUAAUGCCUAACUCCACCCUCUGAUUCUCCAGAGAACCUUCUCAGCUAAAUAUCACCAUGCUGUUAUUUCUCAUUUCUGCAAUAGUUAUUUAAUUUAUAUUAUUUCAUCUAUACCAUCUUAUAUUGCCUAUAUACACACGCACACAUUUUCCACCCAAGAAUAUGGAAUACUUUCUUGAAAAAGGACUGAAUCUUUGAUUUACUUCAUAUUCCUAAAAAUACUCCUUAAAACAAUGCAUUAUUUUUUUUCUGGAUUUGUAGAAUAAUGUGUUCAAAAUAAAUAGACUUU